UACGAACUGUGCAAACGUUAUUCGGAAUCACUGGGCUUAAAGGGUGCAUAGGCGGCUUAUCAAGUAGGGUGUGAAAGCCCCCGGCUUAACCGGGGAAUUGCGCCCUAAACUGACGAGCUGGAGUGGGACAGGGGUGUGUGGAACUUCCGGUGGAGCGGUGAAAUGUGUUGAUAUCGGAAGGAACACCAGUGGCGAAGGCGGCGCUCUGGGCUGGCACUGACGCUGAGGAGCGAAAGCGUGGGGAGCGAACAGG
rnacentral:rRNA from 1 species